rnacentral:sRNA from 1 species
UGGCUGACUCCGAUUCUGACUCAGAUCG